CAAUAAUUCUUUUAGUUUUGAGGAACCUCCACACUGUUUUCCAUAGUGGCUGAACCAGUUGACAUUCCCACCAGCAAUGUACAAGGCACAAUUGACCUCCACCAAUUCAUCAACUGUGCUUUCUGACUUCCUCUAUCUAUCUGGCAACUAAUUGCAUCUAUCCCAGGGAUCUCAGGUGUGCUCACAGAAACACCACAAGAAUAAUGCAACCCAUGUGAUAAGAUUCCUUGUGAACUCAAUUUGACUUUAGAUUUUGUUAUGUGGAUGUGAAUCGCCCGGGAAGACACUCUAUGUUUGCAAGAAUUCACUGG